rnacentral:tRNA from 1 species
AUGAAUGGGCGGGCCUUGAUCCCACGAAAAUUA